GGAUUAAGUAGGAGAGGAACUCAGAGGUUAACACUGAGGCAUUAUGUUGCUGAGAUGAUGAUUUUUGAUUACUCAGGUCCUCUGAUUACAGUUGCUUGAAGAACCAGAAAGGACUAAGUCAACAACACUGACUUUCAAAAAAGGCUAACUUCUUAGUGCUUGUGCAAGGACAAGACUCAAAGAAGCAAGAAGAAAGCAGUUGCUGAGAAGCUAAAGAAUUAAGCAGAGACUUCAGUGGUCAUGAGAUGUUGAAGAGACAAAGGUUCCAUGUUAACAAAUGGAUCAAGUCCUCUAGAUUCUCAGUUACCUCUCUGAAUACCUCUGGAGACAUCCUAUGCAGCUAUGCCAUAAUUUUGUUCUUCCUAUUGUGGAAUCAGAGGAGCCAAUGAAAAAUUGGAUGUUGGGCCAAAGACCCUCAGGCAAAUCUGGGUAAUUUUUUAUUCUUUAUUUAACCAAGAUGGAGUUAUAAAGUGGCAAAACUACUAUUUGCAUUUUGGGAGGAGAAUCUGGCAACUUUGUUCUCUGUGGUGGAAAAAAACAAAUACAUUAUCACCUACAACAGAGCGUACUUGGAAGAUAAGUCUCUCUGAUAACACAUAGCUUCUAUAGACAAUAUUAUGAAGGCUGUGGAGAAUUCAGGAACUGCAGCUGGAGUGGUAUCAUUGAUAAUUCUGAAUGGACUAAAGAAAAGCAUUGAUAAGCUCAAAUUCCUAUAUUUGUGCAGUACACACAGACUGAAAAUCAGGUUCUUUUAAUG